UAGUCAAGACGCAGUCCUCGGUCUAGACAGGCAGUAUCAACAAGGGCUAUAACACUUUACCGAAGCAAAGUCACAUUCCCAAGUCAUUAUCCUACCAUCCAAACCGAUGCUGGCCCAGUAAACUGCAGGGGACCCCACCACGAAGGUAAGGCUUGCAAAAUACCAAGUCUGAUCUCAAGCCCUUCCCUUUCAACAAUUUCACGUACUUUUUCACUCUCUUUUCAAAGUUCUUUUCAUCUUUCCAUCACUGUACUUGUUCGCUAUCGGUCUCUCGCCAAUAUUUAGCUUUAGAUGGAAUUUACCACCCACUUAGAGCUGCAUUCCCAAACAACUCGACUCUUCGAAAGCACUUUACAUAGAGUUGGGCAUCUCAUCGCACGGGAUUCUCACCCUCUGUGACGUCCUGUUCCAAGGAACAUAGACAGAGCCAACUCCAAAGUUACCUUCUUCAAAUUACAACUCGGACACCGAAGGUGCCAGAUUUCAAAUUUGAGCUUUUGCCGCUUCACUCGCCGUUACUGAGGCAAUCCCUGUUGGUUUCUUUUCCUCCGCUUAUUGAUAUGCUUAAGUUCAGCGGGUAGUCCUACCUGAUUUGAGGUCAAACUUGUUUGUUGUAUUGUAAGGCCGAGCCAAUAAUACUAAAAAUUUACUACUAAACCAUUCAACGAGUUGGAUAAACCUAAUACAUUGAAAAAGUCUUGAAGCACUAUUCAGUACUACUCAUGCCGAUACAUUUCACGCAACGCCUAGUCCGACUAAGAGUAUCACUCAUACCAACCCAAGGGUUUGAGAGAGA
rnacentral:rRNA from 1 species